UUCAUACAUGAAAUAAUACAGCGUUAGUGGAUAAAUAAACACCAGACUUUUAUUUUGACACACUUAAAUGGCUAGGUCGCUAUUGACAUUUCUCCGGUAUUUUUGAGUUUAGCCUGUUGACUGACCGGCUGAGGACUUACUGUGCCUCUGGAGUUAUGGCUUCUAACAAGCGUCCGCGUCUUUUCUCAUUAGAUGAGAUGGUAUUGAUGUGCAUCCACCAUGUUUUGAUUGAACGACACGCACAUUUC